rnacentral:lncRNA from 1 species
AUGUUGUUCUGCAGAACGGCUUGGCAGAGACUCGGCCCCCUUGCGCGAAAGACUAUCGGACCACUGUCCAGAAAUGCAGUCCCUGCACGAACCAUGGCUGGGGUGCCAGGAGGCCCCGGCAUGAACACAGCCUUGGUCGUUGUUGGUGGAGGCUCUCUUACAGCUGCUCUUAUUUAUGCUUACAAGACGGUAAACUCAGACAGUGAAAGAUACUCUGACAGAAUUGCAGACAUUGAGGCCAGGCCGAAGGCUGAGGAAGUGGGAGUUGUAGCGGCCCCUGUAGAAGAAGCGGCCCCUGUAGAAGAAGCGGCCCCUGUAGAAGAAGCAGCUCCGGUUGUAGAGGAAGUAGCGGCCCCUGCUGCUCCGGUAGAAAGUGCACCCAUGGAGGAGGAGGCGGCACCAGCCCCUGCUGAGCCUGUGGCAGAGGAAGCACCAGCUGCUGAAGCUGCACCCGAAGAGGCGCCCGCAGAAGAACCUGCCGCAGAAGCCCCGGCCGAGCCCGAGGUCGUGGCUGAAGUGGCAUUGGAGCCCGUCGCCGAGGCAGAACCCGCAGCCACUGAGGAGGCCCCGGCAGCCGAGGCUCCUGCCGCAGAAGAGGUGGCAGCAGAGGUGGCGGCAGAGGCCGCACCUGAGGCCGAAGCUGCGUCUGAAGCGGCACCAGUCGCAGAGGCUGCCGCAGAGGAGCCUGCAGCAGAAGCAGUUGUGGAGGUCGAGGCUGCCGCAGAGGCCCCAGCAGAGAGCUCUGGGCUGGGAAUAUCGGACCUACUGAGUGCUGUAAAACUCAUGGCUGGCUCUACAGUGGAGAUCGCUGCUGCCUCUGUGGGGGAUAGGAGGGUGGUGACAGCCGUUCAUAUACUGGAGGAGCAAGCUGGACUCAGGGAGCACGUGGAGGACGAGGCUGAAGAGCAGAUAGAGGAGGCACCACCUGCAGCAGAGGAGGCAGACGCCUCCCCCAGCCUGGAAGAGGAAGUAAAGGAAGAGGAGGCACAGGAAGCAUCAGCUGAGGCGGAAGAAAACACAGCUGCAGCUGAAGAGGGAGAGCAAGAGGCUUCGGAGGGGGCACAACACCUUGCUGCUGCCUCUGCCAUGGAUGAGGCUGAGGAGGAUGCGAGCAAAUCCUGCCAUUCCUGCCAUGCCCACUCAGAGGUGGCGGUGGCUGGUGCCGAGGCUGAAGAGGCCGAGCCAGCUGAUGAAAAUGCUGAGAGUCCUGCAGAAGGCAGUGGGGAGUCAGAAUGAGGGCCUACAUCCAUUUUUGAAACUAAGAGCCUUCAUCAAUUAUAACUGAACUAUCAACGACUGAAAAAGAUAAGCUUUGAACACCUGGCACAGAAUGACUUAAUGUAGCGGAAGUAUGAGGCAGUCAUAGAGGUAAUGGCGUAAUUCACACCCAUAUAUGCUAAGAUGGUUUAUCGUGCAGCACAAUAACAUCAGUUUUCCCCAAAAUAAGCAGUACUGGUAAGAGAAUAAAUCUGGCUACAGUGUGAUGUACA